UUGGUUAGUCAGCACGAGCGCACCCUGUGAACUGUUGCCAGCACGUAAAGGUGGGGACUCUGUUCAGACCGCCGGUAUCAAACCGGAGGAAGGUGGGGACGACGUCAAGUCAGUAUGGCCCUUACGCCUGGGGCUGCACACGUACUACAAUGCCCAGUACAAUGAGAACCGAGACCGCGAGGUGGAGGAAAUCUGCAAAACUGGGCCCAGUUCGGAUUGGAGGCUGCAACUCGCCUCCAUGAAGCCGGAAUCGCUAGUAAUGGCUCAUCAGCAACGGAGCCGUGAAUACGUUCCCGGGUCUUGUACACACCGCCCGUCACAUCAUGGAAGCCGGUCGCAGGCGAAGUGCAUGCGCUAACCUUCGGGAAGCAAUGCCCUAACUUGUAGCUGGUAACUGGGAUGAAGCCGUAACAAGGUAGCCGUAGGGGAACCUGCGGCUGGAUCACCUCCUUUCU
rnacentral:rRNA from 1 species